UUUCCAGUCUACACCCAGCAUGCAUAUGACACCAAUGACGAGUGUCACCGGGGACCAGUCCCAUCCCAGUGCUGCAGCCACCCGUGGCUUGCAGCUGUGACAUUGACCGUGGCUGUUCCACACCUGAAGACAGGGAAGCGGGACACAGGGUGCAUGCCCGGGAUUCCAGCAAUCCAAGACGCCCAGGCAGUUUGAGGCCAGCCUCAGCAAUUUAGUGAGGCCUUACCUAAAACUUCUUUCUCGAGGGCCAGAGGGCCCGUAUGUUAACCCCCAGUACUGAAAACCAAGGUGGGAACCUGCCCAAGGCCAAGCUGGGGUGGGGACCUGGGCAGAGGGCACCACCAAGGCAGAGGCAGAGGUGGGGACGCCAAAGUGCAGGUGGGACUAGGGCCUGGGGGUCCUGUGGCCACAUGUGGGAUGCUUCAGGGACAGCUGGAGGCCAGGUUGGGUCAGUGGGUGCCCUAGGAGCAGGAAGGACAGUUGGAGUGGGAAGUGGAGAUGGCCGUAGGCUAGAGGAAUAGCUGGACUUGAGGCUCCUCUGAGCUCCACAGAGUGAAGGGAGCAGAUUCCUGGUUGAUUGGGGAAGGAGGGACCCAGCAAGAGUGGGAGAAAGAGGAGGAGGAGGACGUGGGUCCCCAGAGUGUCUGCCUCCCUGCUCCCCAGUGUCGUCAUGGGUCACCUGUGGUGGGACACGCCUGUCUAUAUGUAGCCUGUUUCUCUAGGGGUCAAGAGGCUUCUAGAGUGGACAGCCUGCUUCAGAGUCAGUCCUCAGGGUUGCCCUCAGGGGGACAGCACCAGAGAGGCACUGUCCAGGGAGCAGCAGGCCAGGAGGCUGACCUGGCUGUAGGAAGGGGCAGCCAGGGGCCUCCAGGUGGGCUGAAGCAGGGAGCCUGGCCUGCCCUCCAUCAGGUAACUCAGGGGGCCCAAGAAGACCGGCCCUUGUUCCAGAACUGCCCCAGAAGGCGACAUGCUUCCUUUGGGGAGGCAACCCACAGGCCUCUGAACUCAGAGGAAGAGGGACCAGGUGGGCUAGUCACUGAGUUCUGCAAAGGUCAGCCUCACUCCCUGCAGAGCUUCGAACUUGCCUUUUGUUCCUGGGACUCGCUGCCUUUCUGAACCCAGUCUAAAAAUUGCUGCAAUUCUUGCUGGUAUUAGUCAUCCCCUUGUGACUGAGGCUUGGGUACAUAGGUCUUUAAAUCCUGCAAUUAUUUCUCAACCUGGGUUUUUAAGAAUAAAAGUUGAAAAUACAACCAACCAGAAGUGAUCGGCUCUGAGUCUGUUUCAACAGUACUUCUUCUGAAGACUGGCAGAUAAUUCACACUCUCCGUAAUAAUGAAGCCAGAAUUAAAGACAGGCCUUCAGUGCAGAUAGGCAAGAGUCAGAUUCAGAGAACCGAGGCCAGUUUGGGUCCUGGAAUUGGAGACUGCCCCUGAGGAACUGAAAUGCUCCUGUCUUCACAGCCCUCCUUCCACCCUUAUCAGGUAACCUGCCCUGCUCCAACCUGAGGCUAAGGUCACCUGUCCCAGGCUCUGUCCCUCCCGAGGGAGUUGUUAACCCCCUUCCUGCCCUGAUCACUCCGCCUUGGCCCCUCCAGCCAUCUGCUCCUCACCUUUUGGCCAUCCCACUGAGCGUCCCCUGGGCCUGGUCACCUGCGCAGGAAGGAGGGAGAGGGGGGUGGGGGCAGAGGAGAACAAAGGAAGCCCAGGACCUAGAACAAAAGGCAGAGGCUCUCACUUUGGGGUACCAGGACACCAGCUGUGGCCCCCUUCUCGCUCCCAGGACCUAGAACAAAAGGCAGACGCUCUCACUUUGGGGUACCAGGACACCAGCUGUGGCCCCCUUCUCGCUCCCUGGAGAAUAUGUGACCCCUUUUUAAAUAACCCUGCUUUACCUGCUUGCCUCUGUGCUUCUCCAAAGGUGUACUUCAACCUGUGGGGAGCAGGACUCGCCACCG
rnacentral:lncRNA from 1 species